rnacentral:rRNA from 1 species
UACGUAGGGUGCGAGCGUUGUCCGGAAUUAUUGGGCGUAAAGAGCUCGUAGGCGGUCUGUCGCGUCUGCUGUGAAAACUCAGGGCUUAACCCUGAGCUUGCAGUGGGUACGGGCAGACUAGAGUGCGGUAGGGGAGACUGGAAUUCCUGGUGUAGCGGCGAAAUGCGCAGAUAUCAGGAGGAACACCGGUGGCGAAGGCGGGUCUCUGGGCCGUAACUGACGCUGAGGAGCGAAAGCAUGGGGAGCGAACAGG